AAGCUUUGCUGGAAAGGCCUUCCCUCCUCACGCGGCACGCGGUGGCUAGUGGUUAUAUAAGAGGGGACUUGUGUGGCUUCUAUAUCCCAAGCAACAGCAACGGCCAUGAACAUUACGGAGGAAUUUGAGCGAUCGCUGACGGAGAUUGAACGCAGCUACCUGAACAGUGAAGAGAGGGAAAGACGUUUUGAAAUAUUCAAGAACAAUUUCAACAAGAAGCAAGAGCAAGGGGAUCAUGAUGAUAACUCUUCCUCUUCCCCUACACCGAGGUUUUCUGGUAGUUGUGCAGGAACCUCCUACUUCAAUUCCACAAUGAUCAACUUCUGGUUUAAUAUUUUUCUGCUUGUUUUCAUUUGCCUGUUUUUCCUCACCAUCCAAUUAAGAUCCGUUGCCAUUAGGCUUUUCAACUCCACCAAGCGAGCGUUUCUUUAAGCUCACAGCGGCGGCGGCGGCGAGUCUCUGUUGGUGGCAAUUUUAGUGCUGGAGUUUUAUUUACUUAUUAUUGUCUUUUUAUUCGGUCCUCUGUCUGUGUCAUUGCGUUUUGGGUUUAUUUAUUAUCCUUUCCUUA